ACGGGUGAGUAAAGCGUAGGAAUCUGCCUAUUAGAUUGGGAUAGCUUAGGGAAACUUAAGGUAAUACCGAAUGUACCUGAGAGGGGAAAGGUUGGGAUCGCAAGACCAGCCGCUAAUAGAUGAGCCUACGUCGGAUUAGCUAGUUGGUGGGGUAAGGGCCUACCAAGGCGAUGAUCCGUAGCUGGUCUGAGAGGACGACCAGCCACACUGGGACUGAGACACGGCCCAGACUCCUACGGGAGGCAGCAGUGGGGAAUAUUGGACAAUGGGCGCAAGCCUGAUCCAGCGAUGCCGCGUGUGUGAAGAAGGCCUGCGGGUUGUAAAGCACUUUCGUUGGGGAGAACGAAGCGUUAUUUAAAAGAUGAUGUGGAAGAUGUUACCCAAAGAAGAAGCACCGGCUAACUCUGUGCCAGCAGCCGCGGUAAUACAGAGGGUGCAAGCGUUAAUCGAAAUUACUGGGCGUAAAGGGUGCGUAGGUGGUUUAAUAAGUUAGAUGUGAAAGUCCCGGGCUUAACUUGGGGAUUGCGUCUGAUACUGUUAGGCUAGAGUUCUGUAGAGGGAGGUGGAAUUUCCGGAGUAGCGGUG
rnacentral:rRNA from 1 species